rnacentral:ncRNA from 1 species
CUCUUAUCAAGAGCGGUGGAGGGACUGGCCCAUUGAAACCGCGGCAACCUUCAAUCAUUGAAAAGGUGCCAAUUCCUGCAGGAAACUGUAAAGAUAAGGG